GGCGAGAUAGCUCAGUUGGUAGAGCAUCGGACUCAUAAGCCGAGGGUCGAGGGUUCAAGUCCCUCUCUCGUCA
rnacentral:tRNA from 1 species